GAUGAACGCUGGCGGCGUGCCUAAUACAUGCAAGUCGAGCGAACAGACGAGGAGCUUGCUCCUCUGACGUUAGCGGCGGACGGGUGAGUAACACGUGGAUAACCUACCUAUAAGACUGGGAUAACUUCGGGAAACCGGAGCUAAUACCGGAUAAUAUAUUGAACCGCAUGGUUCAAUAGUGAAAGACGGUUUUGCUGUCACUUAUAGAUGGAUCCGCGCCGCAUUAGCUAGUUGGUAAGGUAACGGCUUACCAAGGCGACGAUGCGUAGCCGACCUGAGAGGGUGAUCGGCCACACUGGAACUGAGACACGGUCCAGACUCCUACGGGAGGCAGCAGUAGGGAAUCUUCCGCAAAGGGCGAAAGCCUGACGCAGCAACGCCGCGUGAGUGAUGAAGGUCUUCGGAUCGUAAAACUCUGUUAUUAGGGAAGAACAAAUGUGUAAGUAACUAUGCACGUCUUGACGGUACCUAAUCAGAAAGCCACGGCUAACUACGUG
rnacentral:rRNA from 1 species